AUUCUAACAUACCGUACAUCAUAACCCAUACCUUAUUACCUGGUACACUCAAAAACAAAUUUCUCUCUCUAAAGCUCAUCUUAUUUCAUACCCCUUUACCACCACUAUCACCCUCUCCACCACCAUAUGACUUCUUCGUAGUUCACACUAUUUCUUUUUUGAUUCUCCUCCUCCUCCACGCUCUCUAUGUUUUGGGGUUGGUGAAAGGCGAUUCUAGGUGCCCAUUGGUCGCUUCUUGUGAUUUCUCUACACAAUAUAUCAGUUUGAAUCUGCAGCUCAACAUCCACCACGAUCUUUACUCCUCACAUCAUGCGUAAAUAGGUUGUUUAUUAUUAGCUUCAACAUGUUUCACUAAUUUAUUCAUUCAUCCGCUUCUCACAUGAAAUUAAAAUAACUACAACUGCUUGAAGAAGGUUGGGAGAACAAGAAGAGUUCCUCAGUGGAAAGCAAUGAAGGUGUUCAUCAAGGGCAAGCGAAGGGAGGAUUCUUUCAGCACCUCCGAGAUAAACGAGGUUUGGGAUUUGCAAGCAUGCUACCUUACUGACAUUUGUAUGUGAGGAUGAUGUCACGGGUUUGAGCUUCUUUGUUAGGAUUAUAUAUGUUACUAGCUAAUACACUCAUUUCAUAUGUUUAUUUUUUAUUUUAGUACUUAUUCAUAACUUCAUUUGUAGUACAUUAUCAAUAUUAUAUAUAAUAAUACCCUUUUGAGUA